CCACUUCACUGUACAUUUCCUUAGACUUUCAGCACAUCCUGGUGUUGAGUGUGGGUAGAUUCAUUUCAAGGCAGUGAAUCAUGACAGGAGACCUAGCAAUCUGUGUUCCACAAACACUUGAGGGGAUUCUGAUACACACUCAAGUUUGAGAGCCUAAGAACCACUGGUAUACAAAUCAGGACCUGUAUUUGGCUUAAUAGAAACCAACAGUAACCUGGACAAGAGAUGGCAUUGUGUGCCCCACCAGCAAUUUCCAAUGUGGAACUGAGGACUGGGGAAAGGACCCAACAGAUGGGCACUGCAGACUGGGAUUCCAAUCAAAUGAAAAACUGCAGACUGAGCCACCCGCUGUUCUCAAUAUGGCAUCUGGGUACUGAACCAAGAACUAGGGGCUUAGGUUCUGGUGGAACUGUUACCUUAACCUGAACUGACCUGGACUAGAAAGCCAGUUAGAUCAGGAGCUC